UACGGAGGGUGCAAGCGUUAUCCGGAUUCACUGGGUUUAAAGGGUGUGUAGGCGGAUAUUUAAGUCAGAGGUGGAAAUCUCCAGGCUCAACCUGGAAACUGCCUUUGAUACUAUUUAUCUUGAAUUUUGUUGAGGUAGGCGGAAUAUAUCAUGUAGCGGUGAAAUGCAUAGAUAUGAUAUAGAACACCGAUUGCGAAGGCAGCUUACUAAGCAAACAUUGACGCUGAGGCACGAAAGCGUGGGGAUCAAACAGG
rnacentral:rRNA from 1 species